rnacentral:lncRNA from 1 species
ACAGUAUCCAAAGUAUCAGCCUCACAAGUAGAAGUGGCCAUAAUCCAUGAUAAUGAAGGCCCUGCUUAAACUCCUGGAGUCUGAGGUAUGUUACCUGCCAGAGACGUCUGGGUGAUUUAAGGAGAGCUCUUGUUACUAAGUUGUCUUAAAAGUUUGCCUGGAGGGCUGCGGCUUAGCUGGGCGAAUGCUUUCCUAACACGUGCAAGGCCCUGGCUUGCAGUGCAGCAUAAGGGGUAGGAUGAUAGACACCCGGAGUCUGGGAAGUGGAGGCAGCAGGAUUAGAAGUUCAAGGUCAUCUAUCUUUAGCUCUGUAGCAAAGGUUGGCAUGAGAUAUAUGAGACCCUGGAGGUGGGGGGAGAGAACAACUGUGCAGACCUUGAAGAACUAAUCCCCUUAAAUCCAUCCAGUCACUCCAGGAAGAGGUCAUGAGGACCAUCUGAUGAUCUAUGCACUGCUGUUACACUGAGAAAUGAGUUACUAGUUUGGGAAGCUCUGGGUGGAGGAAGGGGCGUGGCUGGUCUCCUGUGCCGGGCCUGAAUAAGUGUGCCGCCCUUUCCCUGCUGAGUCAUGGUUUUCCCUGUCUUUAACAAGAAAGGCCAAGCCUAGUGGCUCACACUUUUUGGGAAGCUGGGACAGGAGGGCUUCCACAAGUUAAAGGUCAGCCUGGCUACUAAGACCCAGUCUCAAAAGACCCACAAACCAGGCUGGGUGUGGUGGCUCAUUCCUUUAAUACCAGUAUCUGGGAGAGAGAGAGGCAGAAGGAUCUCUGAGUUCAAGGCCAGCCUGGUGUACAGAGUUCCAGGUGAGUUCCAGGACAGCCAGGGCAACAUAGUGAGACCCUGUCUCAAACAAAACAAAAAACAACCACCACUGAGCUGGGGAUAUAACUACAGGUCGAUGGUAGAGCACUUCCCUAACAUGCAGGAGCCCUUGGGUUCCAUCCCCAUCGUGAAAAUAGACUUCCUUUUUUCUCUCAUAACUAUGCCAGUCAGCAGUUCACACGUAAGACUAACAUCUCUACACACAUCCAGAAAGACACGCUACAUGAAGGUAAAUUUCAUAUACACCUUGAAAAUCUGUUUCAAUUUAUUUACUUAUUAUUAUUUUUUAAUUAAUUGGUUGGUUGGUUCUCCUGAGCCUGGGUUUCUCUGUGUAGCCCUGACUGUCCUGGAACUUGUUCUAUAUGGCCUCGAGUACUGAGGUCCGCCUGCCUCUGCCUCCCAAGCGUCCUUGGAUUAAAGGCGUUCGCCACCAAUGCCUGGUUUAUUUUUGUUGUUUUUAACAACUUGUGUAUGUUGCGCCUGCACUUUCAGAGCGUGUAUGGUGGUCCAAGUGACACUUGGCAGGUAUCAGUUCUCUUUUUCUACCAUGUGGGGUCUGGGCAGCAAGCAGCUUUACCACUCCUCCACCCCCCACCCACCCACACACAAUCUGCUUACAUUUUAUUACCUGUUUGAGAUAAAUACUCUAGGGGUAAAAUAUAGCUGAGUGGAUCAGCAAUACUUAACACGCACAAGACCCCGGGUUCCAUUUCUAGCAUCAAAAAAGGAGCAGAACCUUCAGGACACUUCCCAAGUUCCCUGCGUGUUCUUUUUCCACUCCUUCACUUUUGCCUGGGCAGACACUUAACUCUCUUCCACCCUCUCAUCUUUUUCUGCUUACAACAAGCCCAGAAUUAAAAGGCCAUCCAUGGGCAGAGGGGGUUCUGCUUACAACAAACCCGGAUGUGCUGAAGUGUUCAAAGCUCUUCCUUUAAUUAGUGAGAGAUGGUCUCUGACAAGUUCAAGACUGGUGCUAGCUCAACCGAUCCAGAGAACGCCUAAUAAGGAAGGCUGGUGGUCUGAUGGCACCGGCCUGUGAUCCCAGUUAUUCCAGACCGAGACAGGAGGCUGGCUGGCAAGAUCCUCGGGCUACAGAAUAGCAUCGGUCAUUUUUGCAAAACUCGGUCUCAACGGUGCAAUUUUUUUUUUUUUAAAGAAAAAAAUCAAGUGGAAUGGAUGCUCAGAGGCAAAGCGCGUGGCUGAAACACGUCAUGCUCUCAUUUCUAUCGCCAGAACCGAAGAAUGUCUGCCUAAUCUGCUUUCUUUUUGCCUUAAAUCUGACAGCCAAAUACGGCUCCAAACAUUUGGGACUACGGUUUCUGAGCAGGGCAGGUCAUUAAACUCCUAGGAUCCUAUUCCAGUCGCACGGGAACACUGCGGGCAGCGGCCGCCGUUGAUGGCGGAGGCCGGGGCAUUUCUUCGUACUCCGCAGGGUAUGGCUAAGAGGCCGGUCUCUCCCUCCGAGUCGUUGCCCCCUCUUCUGACUCCGAAGCUCACCCUCGACGGCCCUGGGGGAUAGCAAGUAGCGUUCUCCAGCAGCCGAGCCACACAAAGCUGGCCUGAGUCAGGAUAACAACUCCAUUUGGGGCACUUCCGGGAUGCGGGGGAGGGGAAGCGGCCGGCGCAUGCGCAACAUGCAGCCACCCCCUGAGAGCAGCGCAGGCUCUGCCCGUUGGACCCUAGCUCCUGGCCUCCUCUGCCUGGGCACCUCUGACUUAAGUGUCUCCCCAGUGGGGGUCGGGGGAGGGAGGUGUUAAAAGAUCGUUAUAAGGCUAUUGUGUAUAUUUGUGACUUAGAUAUAGUAUAAGCAAUAUUCUGUGUGUUUGCGACUGACCAAUAGCCCAAAGCUGCACUGCAAACCAUUCUACCUAAGUGCAUUCAACUUUUUUACAAGACAAAAAUGCAGGUGCACGAUUUAACUAAAGAAAAUCAGAUCGUGCCAAAGUUUAUAAGGAAAACAACGGCGCUCUGCCCACACAUCCGCAACUGCUUCACUUUCAGCUUCCUUUGUUUUGCCUCCAGCGACAGAUUGCUCGUGCCUUUGCACAAUGUCAAAAUGUAUUAACAGUAAAUUCAAAAGCUACUUGGAAGUCUAGAUUUCCCUUGGUAAGAGACAAUCGGCAAACACAAGUUCUUUUAUCUGGAUCUUAAUUGCUAAUACUAACUCUCAGACC